rnacentral:rRNA from 1 species
AAAAGAUUUUCGAAAGAGUAUAUGGAGGAUGCCUUGGCAUGAAAGACCGAUGAAGGACGCAGUAGGCGUGCGAUACGCUUCGGGGAGGAGCCAAACUUCCUUUGAUCCGAAGAUUUCCGAAUGGGGUAACCCCGCUAUCGAAGAGAUAGUGAUCCAACAUCUAUCCUCUCAGCGUGAGACGAGCCCUCCUGAUCCAUUAAAAUUUUAGGGAUCAAGAAAAAGGGUCUUUAUAAAUCGUUUCAUACUGGGGGACAGGUGUUGGAUGGGCACCCGGUGAACUGAAACAUCUAAGUAACCGGAGGAAUAUAAAACAACACUCACUCUACAGUGAGAUAUGGUCUGAUUUCUACUUGCAAAAUAGCUCAAGACAAGCAAUUGUCUUUUGCCUUUUGCGAACGAAGUCAGGACAUAUGUGAUUCCCUGAGUAGCGGCGAGCGAAACGGGAAUAGCCUGAUUAGAGCUUACUAAGUAAAAAAUUAGCCGAACGAGCCUGGAAAGGACGACCAAAGCGGGUAAUAGUCCCGUAGGCGAAAAUUUUUUACUGAUGCAAUAAUCCUUUUCACCAAUUUAUUGGUGAAAUGAAGUACUAUUGGACACGUGAAAUCCAGUAGGAAGAAAACUCAAACACCCUUCGGGGCUAUGAGCGGGAGGAUCGUCUCCCAAGGCUAAAUAUCUUUCAUGACCGAUAGUGAACUAGUACCGUGAGGGAAAGGUGAAAAGUACUUCUAAUUGAAGAGUGAAAUAGUACCUGAAACCAUAUACUUACAAUAAGUCGGAGCCCUGUUUACAGGGUGACGGCGUGCCUUUUGUAGAAUGAACCAACGAGUUAGCUAGGCGUUGCAAGCUUAAGUCCAACAUGGACGGAGGCGUAGGGAAACCGAGUCCGAAAGGGCGAUUCAGUAGCGUCUACUAUACCCGAAACCGGGUGACCUAUUUAUGAGCAGGGUGAAGCUUUUCGAUAAGAAAAGUGGAGGCCCGAACCCAAUAGCGUUGCAAAACUAUGGGAUGACUUGUGAAUAGAGGUAAAAUACCAAUCGAACCCGGAAAUAGCUGGUUCUCCCCGAAAUAUAUUUAGGUAUAGCGAUCCGCGAAUGUUUUAGAGGUAGAGCUCUGGAUGGUCUUUUCCGGCGAAAGCCGGAAGACCAAUCAAACUUCAAAUUCUAAAAUUACUACGGAUCAGUCAGACCGUGCGGGCUAAGCUGCAUGGUCGAGAGGAAAAGAAUCCAGACCGCCAUCUAAGGUCCCCAAAUGCUACUUAAGUGGAAAAGGAUGUAGUAGCCCAUAAACAACUAGGAGGUUGGCUUAGAAGCAGCCAUCCUUUAAAAAUAGCGUAACAGCUUACUAGUCAAGGGUUAUUGCGCCGAAAAUUUAACGGGGCUCAAAGUAGUUACCGAAGAUGCGGACUUGCACGUAAGUGUGAGUGGUAGGGGAGCGUUCUUAACGGAGUGAAGGUAAAUCGUAAGGUUUGCUGGACUGUUAAGAAGUGCGAAUGUUGGUAUGAGUAACGAAUUAGGCAGGUGAGAAACCUGCCCACCAAAUAUCCGAGGUUUCCCCCGCAACGAUAAUCGGCGGGGGGUUAGUCGGGCCUAACACGUUUUAACGUGGAUGGACACAAUGUUGAUAUUCAUUGACUCUUAAUAGACUAUAUUAUGAUGACGCAGGAUGGAGGUUUACAUGCGCACAUGGUUGCAAUUGUAAGCUAAAGUACUGACUAGAAAAGUCAUAAUCCACUACUAUUAGGACCCGUACCGCAAACCGACGCAGGUGGAUGAGUGGAGAACACUAAGGUGAUCGAGCUAACUUUCCCAAAGGAACUCGGCAAUGUAACGGGCGUAACUUCGGGAAAUGCCCUGCCAGCGCGAGCUGGCCGCAGUUAAAGUAUUUCAGGCGACUGUUUAUCAAAAACUUAGGUCCAUGCGAACCAUUAUGGGAUGUAUAUGGGCUGAUGCCUGCCCAGUGCUAGAAGGUUACGGGGAUGGCUGACGACCGAAAGGUCCAGGCUUGAACUUAAGCCCUAGUAAACGGCAGCGGUAACUAUAACCGUUCUACGGUAGCGAAAUUCCUUGUCGGGUAAGUUCCGACCCGCACGAAUGGCAUAACGGUCUGAAAACUGUCUCUGGGAAGGGCUCGGUGAAAUUACAAUGCCGGUAAAGAUGCCGGUUACCCGCAGCAAGACGGAAAGACCCCGUGAAGCUUUACUAUAGCUUGAUAUUGGGUCAAAGUUUUGAUUGUAUAGCGUAGGUGGGAGCCUUCGGGCGCCAAUGUAACACCACCCUAUCAAAACUUUGCCUCUAACCCUCGAAAGAAGGGACAGUGUCAGGUGGGUAGUUUAACUGGGGCGGUUGACUCCUAAAAUGUAACGGAGUCGUUCAAAGGUUGGCUUGCCCUGGAUGGAAACCAGGGUGAAAGUGCAAACGCAUAAGCCAGCUUAACUGCAAGACUUACAAGUCGCGCAGAUGCGAAAGCAGGAGUUAGUGAACCUCUACAUUGUUACGAGACAGGUAGAGAUCAUCGGAUAAAAGCUACUCCGGGGAUAACAGGCUGAUCGCGCCCAAUAGUCCACAUAGACGGCGCGGUUUGGCACCUCGAUGUCGGCUCACCCUAUCCUGGGGCGGUAGUACGUCCCAAGGGUUUGGCUGUUCGCCAAUUAAAAGGGUACGCGAGCUGGGUUCAGAACGUCGUAAGACAGUUCGGUCCUAAUCUGCUGUGGGCGUGGAAACUUGAGAGGCGCUUGACCUAGUACGAGAGGACCGGUCAGGACGAACCUCUGGUGUACCAGUUGUUCUACCAAGGGCAAUGCUGGGUAGCUAUGUUCGGAAGGGAUAACCGCUGAAAGCAUAUAAGCGGGAAGCCUCCCUCGAGAUGAGGUUUCAAUAUAGGUUCCCGAUAGACGAUCGGGUUGAUAGGCCAUAGGUGUAAGAUCCGUAAGGAUUUCAGCCGAGUGGUACUAAUAAACCAAAAAAUCUUUUGU